UGUUGAGGUUUUCUUUACCUGAAAACAGAUACCUCCCUACCCCAUUAUGUUUAACAGAAUGCUUGUCAACUUUUCCUUCUCAAUCCCAAUUUAUUGACAAGCCAAGCCUGUCACUGGCCCUGUGAGGUUUAGCUCCCUAGCUAAUUUCCUUGUCUCAGCCCAGACCCCUCCCUAGAGAGGGUUGCUCUAUGCUGGCUUCAUGGCACCACUGAAGAGCCCUCAGUGCCUGACCUACAGAAAGCUGAAGCUGGCACUGGUAACGGUAUUGUAUGUCUAAGGCACGCGGUUGGAAGUACUGCCGGUUAUCCAGCAGUUCAUCCUCUCUCUUUGUACAGUGAAUCUGAUUCUGACAGCUGUCACUGGAAGCGUCGGUGGAAUGUUCUUGGUAGCUGUGUGGUGGCGAUUUGGAAUCCUCUCGAUCUGCAUGCUCUGUGUUGGACUAGUGCUGGGGUUCCUCAUCUCGUCAGUGACUUUCUUUACUCCACUGGGAAACCUAAAGAUUUUUCAUGAUGAUGG
rnacentral:lncRNA from 1 species